CCUACGGGAGGCAGCAGUGGGGAAUAUUGCACAAUGGGGGAAACCCUGAUGCAGCGACGCCGCGUGAGUGAAGAAGUAAUUCGUUAUGUAAAGCUCUAUCAGCAGGGAAGAAAAUGACGGUACCUGAGUAAGAAUCUCCGGCUAACUCCGUGCCAGCAGCCGAGGUAAUACGGAGGGGGCGAGCGUUAUCCGGAUUUACUGGGUGUAAAGGGAGCGUAGACGGUCGUGCAAGUAUGUAGGGAAAGGCGGGGGCUCAACCCCCGGACUGGUGGGGAAACUGUAAGGCUGGAGUGCAGGAGAGGUAAGUGGAAUGCCUGGUGUAGCGGUGAAAUGCGUAGAUAUUAGGAGGAACACCAGUUGCGAAGGCGGCUUACUGGACUGUAACUGACGCUGAGGCUCGAAAGCGUGGGGAGCAAACAGGAUUAGAUACCCCUGUAGUC
rnacentral:rRNA from 1 species